rnacentral:lncRNA from 1 species
AUGGGCAAAGGCUCCUUCACAUGCUCCGGGGUGCUGGACAAGCUAAAGGCAGGCCAAACCAUAUGAGUGGCAUCCCAUCAACAUCUUUCUGUAGAAGUUCGGGACAAAGCAAUACUAUGUCACCAUCAUUGAUGCCAUGGGUCACUGUGACUUCAUCAAGAACAUGAUCACAGCCAGGAAGACUGUGCUGUGCUGAUUGUGGCAAGUGGUGUAGGAGAGUGUGAGGCUGGCAUCUCCAAGAACAAGCAGAUCUGUGAGCACACACUGCUGGCCUAUACACUGGGCAUGAAGCAGCUCAUUGUGACAGUCAACAAGAUGGACAUCACAGAGCCACCUUACAGUAGUACAUGCUUUGAGGAGAUCAGCAAGGAGGUGAAGGCUUACAUCAAGAAGAUUAGUUACAACUCCCAGACUCUGCCCUUUGUGCCCAUCUCAGGCUGGCAUGGGGACAACAUGCUGGAACCUGGCAGCAAGAUGCCCUGGUUUGAAGGCUGUAAGGUCACCAGGAAGGAAUGGAAUGUGGCAGGUGUGACACUGCUAAAAGCACUGGACUCAAUCACACUGCUACCCACUCCACGGACAAGCCUCUGCAGCUGCCCCUGACAGGCAGGUACAAGACUGGGGAUAAGUUCAUGCCUUGUGGAGGUGCUUGGGGUUGGGGGCCUACUGGGGUAUUGGCACUGUGCUUGUGGGGCAGGUGGAAGCAGGCAUGGUGGUGACCUUCGCCCCAUGCAACAUCACCAUGGAAGUCGAGUCUGUGGAGAUGCACCAAGGCCCUGCCUGGUGACAAGGUGGGCUUCCAUGUGAAGAACGUAUCAGUAAAGGACAUCAGGCGAGGUGACCUGGCAGGACAGCAAGAAUGACCCGCCCUCAGAGGUGGCGAGCUUUGUCUCCCAGGUGAUCAUUCUCAACUACCUUGGCUGCACCACAGCUGGCUACUCACCAGUUUUGUACUGCCACACAGCCCACAUUGCCUGCAUGUUUGCAGAGCAGCAAGUUUGCAAACCAGCGCUUGGGCAACAAAGUGGAAGACAACCCCAGAGCUUUGAAGUCUGGGGACUUGGCCAUCGCCCAGAUGAUCCUGGGCAAGCCCAUGUGCGUGGAAAGCUUCUCAGACUACCCGCCCCUCAGUGACAUGAAGCAGACAGUGGCUGUUGGGGCCAUCAAGAUUGGAGAAAAAAGCAGC